AGAGGAAGGACGGUACCCCCGGAAGAAGUCUCGGCUAACUACGUGCCAGCAGCCGCGGUAAAACGUAGGAGGCGAGCGUUAUCCGGAUUUACUGGGUGUAAAGCGCGUGUAGGCGGUCGUGCAAGUGGUGCGUGAAAGCGCCCGGCUCAACCGGGCGAGGACGUGGACGAACUGCGCGACUAGAGGCAGGUAGAGGCGUGUGGAAUUCCGGGUGUAGUGGUGAAAUGCGUAGAGAUCCGGAGGAACACCAGUGGCGAAGGCGACACGCUGGGCCUGGCCUGACGCUGAGAGGCGAAAGCAUGGGGAGCGAACGGGAUUAGAAACCCCGGUAGUCCAUGCCGUAAACGAUGCUGACUAGGUGUGGCGGGUCUGAACUCCCGCCGUGCCGGAGCCAACGUGGUAAGUCAGCCACCUGGGGACUACGGCCGCAAGGUUAAAACUCAAAGGAAUUGACGGGGGCCCGCACAAGCAGCGGAGCGUGUGGUUUAAUUCGAGGCUACACGAAGAACCUUACCUGGGCUUGACAUGGCGGUGGUAGGGAACCGAAAGGGGACCGACCUUCGGGAGCCGUCACAGGUGCUGCAUGGCUGUCGUCAGCUCGUGUCGUGAGAUGUUCGGUUAAGUCCGGUAACGAGCGCAACCCUCGUCGCCAGUUACACGUUGUCUGGCGAGACUGCCCGUAGAAAGCGGGAGGAAGGUGGGGAUGACGUCAAGUCAGCAUGGCCUUGAUGUCCAGGGCGACACACACGCUACAAUGGCCGGUACAAUGGGGUGCCAACCCGCGAGGGGGAGCCAAUCCGGCAAAGCCGGUCUCAGUUCGGAUUGCAGGCUGCAACCCGCCUGCAUGAAGUCGGAG
rnacentral:rRNA from 1 species